GAUGAACGCUGGCGGCGUGCUUAACACAUGCAAGUCGAACGAGAAGUGAAGACGGAAACCUUCGGGCGGAAGGCUUUAUUUCGAGUGGCGGACGGGUGAGUAACUCGUGGGUAGCCUGCCUCAUACAGGGGGAUAACAUUUGGAAACGACUGUUAAUACCGCAUAAGACCACAGCACCGCAUGGUGCGGGGGUAAAAACUCCGGUGGUAUGAGAUGGACCCGCGUUCGAUUAGCCAGUUGGCGGGGUAACGGCCCACCAAAGCGACGAUCGAUAGCCGAUCUGAGAGGAUGACCGGCCACAUUGGGACUGAGACACGUCCCAAACUCCUACGGGAGGCAGCAGUUGGGAAUAUUGCACAAUGGGGGAAACCCUGAUGCAGCGACGCCGCGUGAGUGAAGAAGUAUUUCGGUAUGUAAAGCUCUAUCAGCAGGGAAGAAAAUGACGGUACCUGAGGAAGAAGCCCCGGCUAACUACGUG
rnacentral:rRNA from 1 species